rnacentral:rRNA from 1 species
UACGUAGGUGGCAAGCGUUGUCCGGAAUUAUUGGGCGUAAAGCGCGCGCAGGCGGUUCCUUAAGUCUGAUGUGAAAGCCCACGGCUCAACCGUGGAAGGUCAUUGGAAACUGGGGAACUUGAGUGCAGAAGAGGAAAGCGGAAUUCCAGGUGUAGCGGUGAAAUGCGUAGAGAUGUGGAGGAACACCAGUGGCGAAGGCGGCUUUCUGGUCUGUAACUGACGCUGAGGCGCGAAAGCGUGGGUAGCAAACAGG